rnacentral:tRNA from 1 species
CGAACGGCUCGGGUUGUUGUAACCCGAGGCGCUGGGGCCGUCAUCGAAGGUCAGCAGAAAACGGAUCGGCGCCUGUGCUUGCAGGCGCUGUUCGG